UACGAAGGGGGCAAGCGUUAUUCGGAUUUAUUGGGCGUAAAGGGCGUGUAGGCGGCUUGGUAAGUCCGGUGUGAAAACGCUACCGCUCAACGGAGCGAAUGCGCUGGAUACUAUCAAACUUGAGUACGAGAGAGGUGAGGAGAAUACCUGGUGUAGCGGUGGAAUGCUUAGAUAUCAGGUAGAAUACCCGAGGCGAAGGCGCCUCACUGGCUCGUUACUGACGCUAAGGCGCGAAAGCGUGGGGAUCAAACGGG
rnacentral:rRNA from 1 species